CAGCCGCCGCGGUAAUACGUAGGUGGCAAGCGUUGUCCGGAAUUAUUGGGCGUAAAGGGCUCGCAGGCGGUUUCUUAAGUCUGAUGUGAAAGCCCCCGGCUCAACCGGGGAGGGUCAUUGGAAACUGGGAAACUUGAGUGCAGAGGAGGAGAGUGGAAUUCCACGUGUAGCGGUGAAAUGCGUAGAGAUGUGGAGGAACACCAGUGGCGAAGGCGACUCUCUGGUCUGUAACUGACGCUGAGGAGCGAAAGCGUGGGGAGCGAACAGGAUUAGAUACCCCUGUAGUCCCUGUCUCUUAUAC
rnacentral:rRNA from 1 species